GCCACCCUGUGUGUGUUUGAACCAGGAAAAAAUCUGAAACUGGUCAAGAAAGAACAAGGAAGACUUGCCAAAGCAAGGCCGACUCUUCAGCAGUAUAAAGUUUUCAUCAAGUCAAAUAUAUUCACUUUAAAGUGACUGUGCUUUAUUCUGAUACCAUGUCCUUCCUAAUUUGGGGGGCACAGCUGGAGAAAAUUCACUGGCAAUGGAAUAUUUAAAAUUAGAGCUUGCUUAGUGUGCUGCUUCUGAUCACUACUUGAUCCCACUUCGUGCUUUCAUGUUAAUUGGCCCAAUUGGACUCUACAGUUGGAAGGUGAAAACUUACUAUUUCAACUUGAGUCAC